GAAUAAUUUGCAAGAACUGUGGUCCCU
rnacentral:piRNA from 1 species